rnacentral:rRNA from 1 species
CAAGCAAAAUGUAUUUCAGUCUGAACCCCCGAAACUAAGUGAGCUACUUCGAAACAGUCUUAAGGACAAACUCAUCUCUGUCGCAAUAGAGUGAGAUGAUUUCCAAGUAGAAGCAAUAAACUUACCGCACUUAGAAAUAGCUGGUUGCUCAAGAAAGGAAUAUAAGUUCAACCUUAAACUUAUAAAUUAUUUUUAAAAAUCUACAAAGCUUAAGAGUUACUCAAGUAAGGCACAGCUUAUUUGAAACAGGAAGCAACCUAUGAGAUAGGGUAACAUUUAUUGACAUGUAAUAAGUGGGCCUAAGAGCAGCCAUCUUCUAAAAAGCGUUAAAGCUUUAUACCUGAUAAACAUUAAUACCUAAAUUCACCCUUAACCCUUCACUAAUAUUGAGCAAUUUCAUAAAUCUAUGAAAGAUAUAAUGCUAGAACUAGUAACAAGAAAUGAACUUUCUCCAAAAUGUAAGCCUAAGCCAUAAUAGACAAUCUACUGGCAAUUAACGUAGAUGAGUAUACUAUAGUAACUGAUCUCAAGAAAACUCUAUACUUACUAACGUCAACCUUACACCAGAACAUUAAUGGAAAGAUAAAAGAAAAAGAAGGAAUCCCCAUUACCC